rfam:Lupinus angustifolius cultivar Tanjil chromosome LG16, whole genome shotgun sequence.
AUACCUUUCUCGGCCUUUUGGCUAAGAUCAAGUGUAGUAUCUGUUCUUAUCAGUUUAAUAUCUGAUAUGUGGGUCAUUGGCCCACACGAUAUUAAAUUAAUUUUUUAAGGGGGAGAGGCCACCACAAUAGCUUGCUAUUGGGCUUCUCAAGCGUCGCCUAUGUGUUGCACUACUGCAUUGGCCGGCACACCCCAC